rnacentral:rRNA from 1 species
CCUACGGUGGGCAGCAGUGGGGAAUAUUGCACAAUGGGGGAAACCCUGAUGCAGCGACGCCGCGUGAGUGAAGUAGUAUUUCGGUAUGUAAAGCUCUAUCAGCAGGGAAGAAAAUGACGGUCCCUGACUACGAAGCCCCGGCUAACUACGUGCCAGCAGCCGCGGUAAUCCUUAGGGGGAAAGAGUUAUCCGGAUUUACUGGGUGUAAAGGGAGCGUAGACGGCGCGGCAAGUCUGAAGUGAAAGGCAGGGGCUUAACCCCUGAACUGCUUUGGAAAAUGCCAUGCUAGAGUGCUGGAGAGGUAAGUGGAAUUCCGAGUGGAGCGGUGAAAUGCGUAGAUAUUAGGAGGAACACCGGCGGCGAAGGCGGCCUGCUGGACCGUAACUGACGUUGAGGCUCGAAAGCGUGGGGAGCAAACAGGAUUAGAGACCCGUGUAGUC